UGUAAAAUUUCAAAGGUCGAACAGACCUAAAAUUCUAGCUUCUACACCAAAAUUUAAUUUUAAUCCAACAUCGAGGUCGCAAACUUUUUUAUCGAUAAGAACUCUCCAAAAAAAAUUACGCUGUUAUCCCUAAGGUAAUUUAAUCUUAUAAUCCAAAUACCAGGAUCAAAUAUUCAUAAAUAAAUGUUUCAAACAAAAAAAAGUUUAUUAAAUUUUUCCAUCGCCCCAACGAAAUAUUUAACUAAAAAUAAAAGAAUAAAUUCAACAACCAAUAAAUUUAACCAAAUAUAAAACUCUAUAGGGUCUUCUCGUCUUUAUAAAAAAUUUAAGCUUUUUCACUUAAAAUUGAAGUUCUAAAACAUUUAAAUAGAGACAGUUAUUUUCUCAUCAAACCUUUCAUUCCAGCUUUCAAUUAAAAAACUAAUGAUUAUGCUACCUUUGCACAGUCAAAAUACUGCGGCCAUUCAAAAAUCAUUGGGCAGGCCAGACUUUAAAUCAAAAUCAAAAAGAC
rnacentral:rRNA from 1 species